CUGGUCUUCUUUGAAGGUGGUCAGGACAGGUACAGCACAGGCAGCAAUGUGUGAGCUUUUCCCACACCACCCCAUCCAUGUGCCUCAACACUGACCUGGAGAGACUCCUUCUAGAGGGGUGUACCAUUCAAGGACAGUAGGCCAUUCCACAGCCACA
rnacentral:sRNA from 1 species